rnacentral:rRNA from 1 species
GACGUAGGGCGCAAGCGUUGUCCGGAUUUAUUGGGCGUAAAGAGCUCGUAGGCGGCUUGUCGCGUCGACUGUGGAAAACCCGUGGCUCAACCAUGUGGUCUGCAGUCGAUACGGGCAGGCUAGAAUUCGGUAGGGGAGACUGGAAUUCCUGGUGUAGCGGUGAAAUGCGCAGAUAUCGGGAAGAACACCAAAGGCGAAAGCGCUCUGCUGGGCCGAAACUGACACUGAGAGACGAAAGCUAGGGGAGCGAAUGGG